UACGAAGGGGGCUAGCGUUGUUCGGAAUUACUGGGCGUAAAGCGCGCGCAGGCGGUCUUCCAAGUCAGUGGUGAAAGCCCGGAGCUCAACUCCGGAGCUGCCAUUGAAACUGUAAGACUUGAGGAUGAGAGAGGUGAGUGGAAUUCCCAGUGUAGAGGUGAAAUUCGUAGAUAUUGGGAAGAACACCGGUGGCGAAGGCGGCUCACUGGCUCAUAUCUGACGCUCAGGCGCGACAGCGUGGGGAUCAAACAGG
rnacentral:rRNA from 1 species